GUUUGAUCAUGGCUCAGGAUGAACGCUAGCGGGAGGCUUAACACAUGCAAGUCGAGGGGCAGCACGAGAUAGCAAUAUUUUGGUGGCGACCGGCGCACGGGUGAGUAACACGUAUGCAACCUACCCUGUACAGGGGGAUAACCCGGAGAAAUUCGGACUAAUAUCCCAUAAAGAUAAUGAUGGGCAUCCAUUAUUAUUUAAAGCUCAGGCGGUACGGGAUGGGCAUGCGGAACAUUAGCUAGUUGGCAGGGUAACGGCCUACCAAGGCAGCGAUGUUUAGGGGACCUGAGAGGGUGAUCCCCCACACUGGUACUGAGACACGGACCAGACUCCUACGGGAGGCAGCAGUGAGGAAUAUUGGUCAAUGGGCGCAAGCCUGAACCAGCCAUCCCGCGUGAAGGAAGAAGGCGCUAUGCGUUGUAAACUUCUUUUCCAGGGGGUGAAUUUUCCGGUCGUGACCGGAAUUGACGGUACCCUGGGAAUAAGCAUCGGCUAACUCCGUGCCAGCAGCCGCGGUAAUACGGAGGAUGCGAGCGUUAUCCGGAUUUAUUGGGUUUAAAGGGUGCGUAGGCGGACGAAUAAGUCAGUGGUGAAAACCUGCAGCUUAACUGUAGAAUUGCCGUUGAUACUGUUUGUCUUGAGUAUGGUCAAGGUAGGCGGAAUGUGUAAUGUAGCGGUGAAAUGCUUAGAUAUUACACAGAACACCGAUUGCGAAGGCAGCUUGCUGGGCCAUUACUGACGCUGAUGCACGAAAGCGUGGGGAUCGAACAGGAUUAGAUACCCUGGUAGUCCACGCCGUAAACGAUGAUCACUCGCUGUUAGCGAUACACAGUUAGCGGCUAAGCAAAAGCAUUAAGUGAUCCACCUGGGGAGUACGGCC
rnacentral:rRNA from 1 species